rnacentral:lncRNA from 1 species
GGCAAGAAGCGCAAGCGCAGCCGCAAGGAGAGCUACUCGGUGUACGUGUACAAGGUGCUUAAGCAAGUGCAUCCGGACACGGGCAUCUCUUCCAAGGCCAUGGGCAUAAUGAACUCGUUCGUGAACGACAUCUUCGAGCGCAUCGCGGGCGAGGCGUCGCGCCUGGCUCAUUACAACAAGCGCUCGACCAUCACGUCCCGGGAGAUCCAGACGGCGGUGCGUCUGUUGCUUCCCGGGGAGUUGGCCAAGCACGCUGUGUCCGAGGGCACCAAGGCGGUCACCAAGUACACCAGCUCCAAGUGAGUUCCUCUAACUCACUCCUAACCCAAAGGCUCUUUUCAGAGCCACCUACACUUUCAGUCAAAAAGUCUGUUGCACAUGCGUCCUCCCAUGUAGUCAAUUUGGGGUGGUGGAUGUGGACAUCUAGUUUUUGCCGCUCAGCGUUUUCUUUUUGUGGACCCUUCCCUCUCCAGGUACUUUACAAGCAGCUCCUAGUGUCAUUCCUAAGUCGAAUGCUAUUGGGACAGCCAAUCAUGUUUUGGGUUUUCGGUUAUUCCUUUGGCUUUAUUGUAUACAGGGAUAUU